GUGUCAGCCGCCGCGGUAAUACGUAGGGUGCAAGCGUUAAUCGGAAUUACUGGGCGUAAAGCGUGCGCAGGCGGUUUUGUAAGACAGGCGUGAAAUCCCCGGGCUCAACCUGGGAAUUGCGCUUGUGACUGCAAAGCUGGAGUGCGGCAGAGGGGGAUGGAAUUCCGCGUGUAGCAGUGAAAUGCGUAGAUAUGCGGAGGAACACCGAUGGCGAAGGCAAUCCCCUGGGCCUGCACUGACGCUCAUGCACGAAAGCGUGGGGAGCAAACAGGAUUAGAUACCCUGGUAGUCCACGCCCUAAACGAUGUCAACUGGUUGUUGGGUCUCUUCUGACUCAGUAACGAAGCUAACGCGUGAAGUUGACCGCCUGGGGAGUACGGCCGCAAGGUUGAA
rnacentral:rRNA from 1 species